CGGGGCGUAGCUCAGUUUGGAUAGAGCGCACGGUUCGGGACCGUGAGGUCGGUGGUUCAAAUCCACUCGCCCCGA
rnacentral:tRNA from 1 species